GUCCACGCCGUAAACGAUGGACACUAGGCGUCUGGGGGAGCGACCCCUCGGUGCCGUCGCUAACGCAGUAAGUGUCCCGCCUGGGGAGUACGGCCGCAAGGCUGAAACUCAAAGGAAUUGACGGGGGCCCGCACAAGCGGUGGAGCAUGUGGUUUAAUUCGAAGCAACGCGAAGAACCUUACCUGGGCUUGACAUGCUGGUGAAAGCCGGUGGAAACAUCGGCCCCUCUUCGGAGCGCCAGCACAGGUGCUGCAUGGCUGUCGU
rnacentral:rRNA from 1 species